rnacentral:rRNA from 1 species
UACGUAGGGGGCAAGCGUUGUCCGGAUUUAUUGGGCGUAAAGAGCGUGUAGGCGGCCAGGUAGGUCUGGUGUGAAAACUCGAGGCUUAACCUCGAGAUGUCAUCGGAAACCAUCUGGCUAGAGUCCGGAAGAGGAGAGUGGAAUUCCUGGUGUAGCGGUGAAAUGCGCAGAUAUCAGGAAGAACACCAAUGGCGAAAGCAGCUCUCUGGGACGGUACUGACGCUGAGAAGCGAAAGCAUGGGGAGCGAACAGG